rnacentral:snRNA from 1 species
AUCGCUUCUCGGCCUUUUGGCUAAGAUCAAGUGUAGUAUCUGUUCUUAUCAGUUUAAUAUCUGAUACGUCCUCUACCUGGAGGACAACGUAUUAAGCGGGUUUUUGGAGCUGGGAGAUGGAACGGGAGCUUGCUCUGUCCACUCCACGCAUCGGCCUGGUAUUGCAGUGCUGCCGGGAACGGUGCAUCCCUC